CUUGAUCAUCGCGCCAAAACAGAUUUCCCUGGCUGGUCAUUACCAUCGUGAAACAGAGCGCAGGGAUACGCCCAAGUAUUAAAUGCACGUAGACUUUUAUUUAUUCCGUUUCUCCCUGGGUUUUUUGGGCAGUCAUUGAAAGUUAUAUAUCCAUAUCACGGCAACCACCACCACACGUAUAACUGGGGUGUUUUUUUUUUAAACUUUUUUGUUGUCAUGUGAAAACAUUUUACCUUGGCCAUCCUAAAUGUUUAAAAAAGGAAAAACAGGAGCCAGUUUCUUGUGUUAGCAGCUGCGUGCAUCUAUAACUCGCUUCGUUUCUUUUCUUUCAUUAAAAAUGGCGUCAGAAAGUGCCGUCAUAGUUCCGCUGGUAUGGUUUUAAAAACAAGAAAAUUGGGCGACUAUUAUAUACGUGAGAGAGAGAGAGAAAUCUUAUCUUUUGUGUGUGGCUUAUUGAUGGCAUGAUCACUGAGACAGAUCCACCAGCCAACAACAUACACGGAUGUUGUAUUGUGUGGGUUUUGCGGUCCCCCCUCCCGGUUGUGUGUUGUGUGUACAUGUAGAAAGUUGAGCUACAUCGCCCUCCAAUUAGUUUCAUUAAUAGGCUAGCUGGGUAGUGGUGAUGAUGUAAGAACAUCCUACCCCACUUUUGAACCCCCAUUAUGAGCUGCGGAAUUUCACUGAUGAUGCACCACAUAAAAGAUAAUUUCGUUAUCUUUUAGCUACAUAUAGGUGUGUAUUUGUACAGCAUGUAAUAAGCACGCGAAGCUAUAGUAUCUAGUUGAUUCCAAUGUCACUUUCGAUCGAUAAAUGCUAGACGUCCGGAGUGUAUCCAGCGUAUAUGGGUAUAUCUACUCUUUUUUUGACCGGAUACUGAUAGUAACAAUCCCGGCAACAUCCGCCUCACGUCAGUUGUUCGGGACCAUCGAUCAAUCAAGUACAAAAAAAAAAAAAACAAAAAGAUACUCCGCAUGGAUGUAUUGAUGUAAGGAGGGCAAAGAAGUCUAUAUAACAGUCAACGAUCCUUUACACGCUUCGUAUACAACUCAUCCAUCAUCGACACUUUUGUUUUUUCCUGUGGAUUUUUUUCUUUGCGAUAUUUUGGCCAAGCCAAUAGGGGGGUUUGUGUUUUUGUUUUGGCUAGCAAUAAAAUGUAAUUGCGCGGAUAUUUACUGUCUUUUUCGACGUGUACAAGUUCUUAUUCGGAUUAUAGAGUGCUUGUAACACAAUCUAGUGUGUUCACUAGUUGGAUAUCACCUUCAUUUUUGCUCAUUUGAAUUAAAAACUUGGAUAUCUUAUUUUUAUACCAAUUUUUUAACUUACUAUUUUUACAGUUUUUGAGUUUGUUACCUUUUUGGCGGGAAAGAGUACAAGUACAUUUGGCAACGGCGCUAAUGGCUGCACGAAAAUCAGCACAAAAUUACAAAAAUUUGGUCGACAAGACAGGUCGUCCGUCGUGUUAUUAGAAUAUCUGAUCUGAUUGCGUCUCUUCAUAACAGAACAGCUUAACACACACACACCGUGCUGGUUAGCAGAUUUGACACCUGAGCCAACCAGAAAUGCAAGUUUAACUUGUGCUGGUAUCAACCUGUCAUCAGCAACAAUCUCAGUAUAUCAUCACUAGGAUAAUCAGCAUCCCAUUGGUCUGGAUUAUCUAACAAUGUCUGGGGACUCAACUCUUCUCCCCUUCUUUGAAUCCCGCCUGCUGUCCUCGUGCACAUACUCUGAGUGUGGGUGGAUUCACGUGGGACUCGUCUCUCGCCUGGCGUUUUCAACUUUUCUGCUGACGGAGCAACUUGUGGAUGCCUGGCCGUAAUUCCCAGGGCUUAAAAGUAGGGAAAAGAAACUUUUAGAGACAGGAUACUGCAAAGGAGGCUAUCAACUCUUUCGAGGCCGUCCAUAGAAAUGGUUGGCCUUGGUGGUUCCAAAUCAUUCUGGGAGUGCUGCAUGUUGGCUGCUUGUUUUUUAAUUGAUGAGCUUCUAAAUUUUCUAAUGCUUCCACGGUGAAAUGAUUUGACUUGAUUGAGCCCGUCGUUGUUUAUUCAUUCAAAGCGUAUAGAAAUUCGCGAGAAUUCAGAUUAAAAAAUCCUGUUCACUUGUUUUGGCCAUGGUUGGUUUGGCUACUUUGAUUCAAUUCACUUAUCUAUCUGGGUCCGCGAUUAAUUGAAUUAAUGGUUUCUUUUUCCUGAAAAUCUGUCGCGAUAAAUCCUACGCGCACAGCCUGCUAAGUAGCUGCUGCGUUGAUGGUGAAUAAUAAACCAAACGGGUUGACAUUUUGUUUGAAAUCACGGCUGCAGCUUGCGACCAACUGUGAUGGGAUAUUCCUUUAGCAGCUUAUCAGUUUAAAAUUAAAAAAAAAAAAAAAAAAAGUUUCAGCGUGAACAGACCGGUUUGAAUGAUAAUCGGUUUUCCCUCGAAUCUGUUAGCGCGCGAGGGAGCCAUUUUUCUCAACGCCACAAAAUUUCCAGUUAAACGGAAAAUGUUGUGUAAUCUUUUCCCCCCUUCACCAUUUUUAUUUGACCAUUCGAGGCUUUCCCCCCCCCCCCCCCCCACUCAUUUCUAUAUGUAGUGAGUCAUCCGCUCCAUUACCUGCUGCUCUCCGGGGUUAUUCGGGACUUUUUCUUUUU
rnacentral:lncRNA from 1 species